ensembl:lncRNA
UGCUGUGUGAUUACAUGGUGGGGCAGGUGCAGAUCUGUGAUUGGGGCGCUUGGGAGUUUGCUUUCUGCCAGUUCACAAAAUCCUCCUGGCUGAAACCUUAUCCCUGAGCUUCAGCAGUCUGUGCCAAGCAUGGUUUUCCUCCUGGUGGUGAGUGCGCCUGAACCAAUGCAUGUAUCACAGGCUGUGUCUUCCUUCUAGCUGGUCAGCAUUGGCUCUUCUUACAACUAUGGAAAUGAAGACCAGGCUGAGUUCCUCUGUGUGGUUUCCAAGGAGCUGCACAACACCCCUUAUGGCACAACCAGUGAGCCUAGCGAGAAAGCCAAGAUUUUGCAAGAACGAGGUUCAAGAAUGUGAGACAGUACUGACAGCUGAAGAAAUGAUUUACUUUUUCCCAAGAUACAUUGAACCGCCAUAUUCAGGAAGCUUGGCUGUGAGAAGAAACCUGCUUUUGAUCAUUUCUCUAGAGAUCUGGGUGUGGAUCCUUUUUUGCCUCGUAAGUGGGUGGUGAGAGACGGCCCAGCUGUCUGAGGCCCAGUGUCCCCGCGGGGAGGAGGCCAGGGCCAGGUGGGCUGUCUCUGGGGGCCUCACUCUGUUCUUUCUGAGUGCCACGUGGGACUGAGGCGGGAUGCUCCUGACCAGCCGGUGCAAUCCUGAAGAACAUUUGAAGGACAGGGUUCUUGGUGCUACAUACAUAGUCUGCGAUACACAGUCUGGGCCUCGGCAAGAGGAAGGGGCAGCAGCUGUGCCUACUAUCAGUGCACCGUGGCUCGGGGCUGAAUGCUGCUGGCCACCUUUGAGCACCAGGCCCUGGUCCUUGGAUCAGGGGCUCUUUGGCUCCAGGUGUGAUUGGCUUGUGGUCUCUCUCGCCCUCAACAGAGGCUUCUGAGAAAAGAGCCCUCUGCAUCAUCACUACUUUCCUAGGGCCUGACCCACGGCCUGGCCUCCUUCAGAGCCAGGCUUUCAUUCUGCCCUCGUAGGCCAGGACAGUCAAGGCUUCUCUAUUUGUAUUUUCCAGGCGAGAGAACUUUGUAUCCCUUUUUUUUUUUUUAAGUGUGGAUAGACCACCCAAUGUUUAUACUCUUUAGAAAUGCCUAAAAGUGUUGCUGCGUUUUGGAUUGAUCUGUUCAAUCAUUUAAUGGGAGAUAGAGGUUUUGCCUCACUCGUCCUACCCGAGGGCUCAUGGGGGAGCUGGCGCCCACCAGUGCCUUUGUCGCGCCUGGGUUGGAGGCUGGAAUGGGAAGCCUGUCCACCUGGCUUCUGGAGCUGACACUCUGGGUCAUGUUGAAAAUUCAGGAUGUUUACAGCGCAUCACGUCUCUUUCUCGCCGGCUCUCAUUUCCUUGUAUAACUAUGCAGUUCUUCUCUAAUAUUUCUGGGGCGUUUGAGACUUUGCACAGCCUGCCCCGGCUUCACCCACCUGACAUGAUGUGAAGCUGCUGGGACUCCUUCAGACUGUGCCCUUGGGCUUUCAAAAGGCCUUUCUCAGCCAGCUGUGGAGACGACAGUCUGCAGACCUGACUGGAGCCAGCAGGCUCUGUGCUUCCCAAGGGAGCUGUGCAAACUGACCACCAGGGCUGCCCAUAUGCAGGUCAGAGGCUCUGACACUGUCCGUUUCAAAUGCUUCCGGAAACUUCUUGCCUAGGCCCUCUUCCUUCUCCUUUGCCAGUAACCUGAUUAACCAAGUUCUCCAGCAUCUAAGACUUACCUCCUCCUUUCGUAAGAUCGAUCUCUUGUAUGUGGAUGAAUGUCUGGCUUAAACAGUUUAUAAAGCCUGUGGGGCAGAUUUAGCCUCUGUCCUCCCCAGCACAGUCCCAGGAGUGGGUGGCCCUGCUGUUGGCAGUGGGGAACAAGCUCUCUGGAGACUGCUGGAUGCUUAGCAUUGUUUGAUUUAUGACCUUGACAAAUAGAUAGGCUUGUGUUUUUUUUUAAUUUAAAGAUAUUAAGACUUAAAUCACUAAAAUUUAUUCUGAGGGGAUAUUUAUACUUUUAUACUUUUUUAGGUAUCCGUAUUUUAUCAGCUUACUGUUUAAUGCCUAAGUUUCCCCUGAAAAUAGCAAAUAAAAUUGUGUAUUUAUGAAUGAGCCCA